rnacentral:rRNA from 1 species
CAAUAGCGUAUAUUAAAGUUGUUGCAGUUAAAAAGCUCGUAGUUGGAUUUCUGUUUUGGACGUCCGGUCCGUCCAUUGAUUUGGAUGCGUACUAGGAUGUUUGAUUCAUUUUUUGUGAGCGCCUGAUACUGGCAUUAAGUUGUCGGUAUGUAGGACUUGCAUCGUUUACUGUGAAAAAAUUAGAGUGUUUAAAGCAGGCGUUCGUUUUGAAUACAUUAGCAUGGAAUAAUAAGAUACGACUUUGGUGGUCUAUUUUGUUGGUUUGCACACCAGAGUAAUGAUUAAUAGGGACAGUUGGGGGUAUUCAUAUUUCAGCGUCAGAGGUGAAAUUCUUGGAUCGCUGAAAGAUGAGCUUAGGCGAAAGCAUUUACCAUGGAUGUUUUCAUUAA